rnacentral:rRNA from 1 species
GUACACAAAAAUGCACAUACUGUGAGCUCGAUGAGUAGGGCGGGACACGUGGUAUCCUGUCUGAAUAUGGGGGGACCAUCCUCCAAGGCUAAAUACUCCUGACUGACCGAUAGUGAACCAGUACCGUGAGGGAAAGGCGAAAAGAACCCCGGCGAGGGGAGUGAAAAAGAACCUGAAACCGUGUACGUACAAGCAGUGGGAGCCUCUUAAUGGGGUGACUGCGUACCUUUUGUAUAAUGGGUCAGCGACUUAUAUUCUGUAGCAAGGUUAACCGAAUAGGGGAGCCGAAGGGAAACCGAGUCUUAACUGGGCGUUAAGUUGCAGGGUAUAGACCCGAAACCCGGUGAUCUAGCCAUGGGCAGGUUGAAGGUUGGGUAACACUAACUGGAGGACCGAACCGACUAAUGUUGAAAAAUUAGCGGAUGACUUGUGGCUGGGGGUGAAAGGCCAAUCAAACCGGGAGAUAGCUGGUUCUCCCCGAAAGCUAUUUAGGUAGCGCCUCGUGAAUUCAUCUCCGGGGGUAGAGCACUGUUUCGGCAAGGGGGUCAUCCCGACUUACCAACCCGAUGCAAACUGCGAAUACCGGAGAAUGUUAUCACGGGAGACACACGGCGGGUGCUAACGUCCGUCGUGAAGAGGGAAACAACCCAGACCGCCAGCUAAGGUCCCAAAGUCAUGGUUAAGUGGGAAACGAUGUGGGAAGGCCCAGACAGCCAGGAUGUUGGCUUAGAAGCAGCCAUCAUUUAAAGAAAGCGUAAUAGCUCACUGGUCGAGUCGGCCUGCGCGGAAGAUGUAACGGGGCUAAACCAUGCACCGAAGCUGCGGCAGCGACAC